UACGGGGGGGGGGCAAGCGUUGUUCGGAAUUACUGGGCGUAAAGGGCUCGUAGGCGGCCAACUAAGUCAGAUGUGAAAUCCCCAGGCUUAACCUGGGAUGCCGGUGGAUACUGUCGAGCUCGAGUCCGGAAGAGGCGAGUGGAAUUCCUGGUGUAGCGGUGAAAUGCGCAGAUAUCAGGAGGAACACCUAUUGCGAAGGCAGCUCCGCUGGGACGUAACUGACGCUGGAGACGCGAAAGCGUGGGGGAGCAAACAGG
rnacentral:rRNA from 1 species